GUCGUGUAAGUAAUACAGCUCCAAAGUAGAUAUAUCUCCACAAUUAGUAAAGAUUGAUUUGCUAACAGCACACUAGACAAUCGGGCGGCUGUUUUCGCCGGCUAACAGUACGCGAAAAAUAUCCAGGCUAUUUCGCAUCAAUGACCAAAUGAAUUAGCCAUUCCGAAGUUGAUGAGUGGACUGGGGACGAGUGUUAAAAAGUGCCCAAAUUAAGAAAUGAACCAAAUCACUAAAAAGACCACCUCAAAAUUAGCAAGUAUACAAAGUUUGAAGACGUUUACACGAAUAUCCUUCGAAUAAUAAGCUUUCAAAAAUCGUGAUAUUUACUAUGAAAUGUAUUGUAAUUUUUGUUUUUGGGACGCGCGUCCCAAAAACAAUCUUUUAAUCAG